rnacentral:tRNA from 1 species
GCGGAGGUUGCCAAGCCAGGUCAAAGGCGUGAGGUUCAGGUCCUCAUCUCGUAGGAGUUCGCGAGUUCAAAUCUCGCCCUCCGCACCA